rnacentral:lncRNA from 1 species
UUUAAAUUUCCUACCUCAGAGGUCAGUUUUCUUUCAAAGGUGCAUUUCUAAGUGUAUCGCAUUUAAUCUCGGCAUAUAUUUCUUCAGGGAAAUAAUGCCAAAAGCCUUCCUGGUUCCCAAAUUGAGGUAGUGCUCAACAGCUUAAUUUACCCCUGGCUUAUCAUUCUCACCAUCUUUAUUCUACAAGAUGCAAAACCAAGGUUGUACCUAGUUCUGUACUCUGGUCAAAAUCACCCAGUUAAGAGGGAUUUGGGUCCAGCUGUACCAACUCUGAAAACUUUGCCUUUCCUCACACUACCCUUUAGCAAGACAAAACUUACUAACUUAUAUUUUUCCUUUCUUGAUAAAUCUUUUGGAAGCAGCUCAUGUUAGGCUAAAUUUGAUAGAUCUAGGGGAGUAUUUUCCCAAGAGACUGCUUUUCCCCAAUCCAGGUUUAUGGAGUCUGGUCAGUCAGGCUGUCCCCCAACUGCUGCAAUGUACCUAGGCUUCUCAAUACUGCCCAUAGGCCCAUUGCCCAUCAGCCCUGUCUCCAGGACCCAGAGUCCUGUUCAGGAAGGAGUGGGGUGGGGGCGU